GGUCAGCUGACACAUCCCUGCCAAUCUCCGGCAGACCCUCCCUCCCAGACCCUCCCACCUCCUGGACAGCAUCCAUGUUGAAGUGCCUUCAACAUGGAAGUGCCUUCAACAUGGAUGCUGUCCAGGAAGUAGGAGGGUGUGGGAGGGAGGGUCUGCCGGAGAUUGGCAGGGAUGUGUCAGCUG